AGUGACUCAGAUGAGGCAACUAUAUUCCAUUGCUCCAUAAUCCAGUUCUGACAAUCAGAUCACCAGUCAAAGUGCUUUUGACUUUUCAGGGGUCAUCAUGGGCACUCUGAUCAACUGCGGCUACGCAGUCACAUACGCAGCAAACUAUGAUGCACUGUGUAUACUGACACAUUUUUAUCAUGCCCAGCAUUACAUUUUUUAUCAAUUUGAGCUAUACUGCCUCAUCUGUGUGACCGGGCUUCACUCUCCACAUGUAUCAAUGAUCCUCAGGCGCCCAUAGCCCUGACGUUGGACCAAUUGUUCUUCCUUGUACAACUUUUGGUAGGUACUAACCACUGCAUACCGGGAACCAGGGCCGGAUUAACAAAGGGGCUGAUGAAGCUGCAGCUCCAGGCCCUAGCCCAUGGAAUAGGCCCAUUUAAAAAAAAUUUAAAAAUUAAAAAAAAUUGCUCUGACUCUGUUGUCUAGCCAUUACUAUUUGUCCAUUAUAAAACUCACUCAGAUCUUGUUGCUUGACCAUUUUUUCUGCUUCCAACACAUGAAUAUCAAGAACUGACUGUUCU